rnacentral:rRNA from 1 species
UAGAUGCGAGAGUAGAGCAUAUCAAUAAGCGGAGGAAAAGAAACUAACAAGGAUUCCCUUAGUAACGGCGAGUGAAGCGGGAAGAGCUCAAAUUUGAAAUCUUCAAGGUUUGACCUUGACGAAUUGUAGUUUAAAGAAGUGUUUUCGGUUAGAGGAGUUCGGUAAAAGUUCUUUGGAAUAGGACAUCAUAGAGGGUGAGAAUCCCGUAUUUGACCUUAUCUUUCCAGCUGUGUGAUACACUUUCAAAGAGUCGGAUUGUUUGGGAAUGCAGUCCAAAAUGGGUGGUAAAUUUCAUCUAAAGCUAAAUAUUGGCGAGAGACCGAUAGCGAACAAGUACCGUGAGGGAAAGAUGAAAAGAACUUUGAAAAGAGAGUUAAACAGUACGUGAAAUUGUCAAAAGGGAAGCGUUUGACACCAGUGUUGUUUUUCCGAAAAUCAAUUAAAAAUUGAUUCAUGCCAGGUUGUAUUGACCUUAUCAGCUUGCAAUUUGGUUUUGGGUCUCUUUUUGAUGCACUUUUCGGUUAACAAGUCAACAUCAAUUUCCUUUGCUGUAAAAAGGUAAGAGGAAGGUGGCUUCAAUUUCGGUUGAAGUGUUUAUAGCCUUUUAUCUCUGCAGUCGGGGAGAUUGAGGUCUGCAGCGUAGAUCCUUCGGGGCUAGAUACAUUUAUGCUAAGUUAUAGCUUUUCAUAGACAACUUGUUGACUAUGUUUAGUCAUGUAGCUUACUCGUAAGUGCUAUUUUACCUACGCUUAGGAUGUUGACACACGCGCGUGCUCG